UGAGAGUGGAACUUGAAUCGUGCCUUUGAGUGUCCCCUUGGGACCCUUUUUAUAGGGUCUCGGAGGGCGCACUCAACGGCGGAGAUCGCGCCUAUGGUUAUAUAUGGUAACAUUUAUAACGUUGGCUGCCGCCGAGUAACGGUCGUAAGUCGUCGAUUCAGGUAUGGAAGUCGCCUAGUUAAGGGCUAACUCGGCGAGUUUCUAGGGCCAAGAUGUGCAGUCUACCAUACUGUCGAUCUUGCCUUAACUCGACGAGUUAUCCUGUAUGUCGGCGACUUGGUAGUCCAAUCGGGCGACUUUACGGGCUAACUCGGCGAUCUGGACGAUGAAUGUGUUCCGCACCGUGGGAGCUCUCCGGGGGUCCUGCCAUAGCGACGAAGCCCUAGUCCUUGUUGAGAGGCGUUGAUGGGUAGUGACUGGUGUAAUCAGGCAUGUCUCACCACCUACCAAAACCCUUAUAGCCGUUGGGUUUCUACCUCUAUAAGUAUGAAUCAUCACAACAUAACACGUAGGCUUUGGAUUAAGGUUCUUGGUCCCAAAUCACCAUCUCUAUCUUCUUCAAUCUGUUCUCUGGAAUCUGCAAUCUGUCCUCUGGAAUUCAAAUCGUCUGAUCAAGCUUGCUCUUCAUCUGGAGAUUACUCAUCCGAUCUGUUCAUCGUCUUCAUCAUCUCCAGCAUCUACAUUCUGCAAUCAUCUCAAUCUUCACAAAUCUGUAUUGUCAUUUACUUUCCAAUAAGUUCAAUAUUGUCAUAUAUAAACAUUGCAUUGUAUCUCAAAUACUUGGAUAAUCAUACAUCAUAAUCAUAUAAUUCUAACACUAUUCCUUGACAGUGCAAGUGGAGACAUCAUGAUGAUGAAGGCCAUUGAAACAAGGAGGACUGCUACAAUCGCCAUCUUUUUAUGUUUUUCUUUGGUUUGGUUUGGUUUGGUUUAGUUUGGUUUUUAUAGAAGAAAUAUGGUAGCGGUUACAGCAAAUUUGCGAUGUUGAUUCAUUCAAUUAUUAAAAAUUGAUUUAGAUUGAUG
rnacentral:lncRNA from 1 species